GAGUGCCAGAAUGUCAUGGCUGAGAAAAGAGAUGUUAACAGGCUCCAUGAUGUUGGCCACAGAGUGCCCCCCUAAAGAGGCCUCAGAAGAAUGAAGGGUAAGAAGCUCCUCCAUAAAAUCAGAUGGCACAAAAUUGGAGGAAAAAGAGUCCUUGGCAUGAGGCUGCCACCAGGAGAAUUCUGAAGAUGCAGGGCGUGAAUGGUCAAUGCCUUUGAUUGUUGGGGCACAGGUGGAUGACCCACCAGAGCCACCUAGAGAUAACAUCACCGGAAAAGUCUUCAAGACGGUGAGAUUUGAUUUAGACUGAGUCACAGUGCAAUCUUCCAGUGGUAAAGCAGAUGGGGUUGGUGGUUCGUGACGAUGAGCACAUGAAUCAGUGGGAUUCACGGCCUGGGAAA
rnacentral:lncRNA from 1 species